CAGCAGCCGCGGUAAUACGAAGGGGGCUAGCGUUGCUCGGAAUGACUGGGCGUAAAGGGCGCGUAGGCGGCGGCCAAAGUCAGGCGUGAAAUUCCCGGGCUCAACCUGGGGGCUGCGUUUGAUACUUGGUUGCUUGAGUGGGGAAGAGGGUCGUGGAAUUCCCAGUGUAGAGGUGAAAUUCGUAGAUAUUGGGAAGAACACCGGUGGCGAAGGCGGCGACCUGGUCCUUGACUGACGCUGAGGCGCGAAAGCGUGGGGAGCAAACAGGAUUAGAUACCCGAGUAGUCCCUGUCUCUUAUAC
rnacentral:rRNA from 1 species